rnacentral:rRNA from 1 species
UUGAAAGGGAAACGAUUGAAGUCAGUCGCACCGACGAGAAAUCAGCUCUUUGAGUGUGGACUUGUGGGCGUGCGUGAGCUUUACGGUCUCGCUGUUUGCAAUGUUUGUUCUUUUUGGGUGUACUUUUUCGUAUGGUAGGCCAACAUCAGUUUCGAAUACCAUAAAAUGACCGGCGGAAUGUAGCUUCGAUCUCGUAUUGAAGUGUUAUAGCCUCUGGUAGAUGUGGUGUUUGGGACUGAGGAUUGCAACGAAUAUCCUUUGGGCUAUCCGUCUGAUCUCUGAAAGUUGCUUAGGUGCCGAAAGCGUGCUUACUGUUAUUUAAGUUGACGGUCAAAAGGUUAGAACGUGAUUACAUUCGUUAAGGAUGUUGACGUA